UAAGGAAUAUUGGUCAAUGGACGCAAGUCUGACGGAGCGACGCCGCGUGAGCGAAGAAGGUCUUCGGAUCGUAAAGCUCUGUUGUUAGGGAAGAAGAAGCGCCGUUCGAACAGGGCGGCGCGGUGACGGUACCUAACGAGAAAGCCCCGGCUAACUACGUGCCAGCAGCCGCGGUAAUACGUAGGGGGCGAGCGUUGUCCGGAAUUAUUGGGCGUAAAGCGCGCGUAGGCGGCUUUGCAAGUCGGGUGUGAAAUCCCCGGGCUUAACCUGGGAACUGCAUUCGAGACUGCAUUGCUAGAGUAUGGGAGAGGGAAGUGGAAUUUCCGGUGUAGCGGUGAAAUGCGUAGAUAUCGGAAGGAACAUCAGUGGCGAAAGCGACUCCUGGACCAAUACUGACGCUCAUGUGCGAAAGCGUGGGGAGCAAACAGGAUUAGAUACCC
rnacentral:rRNA from 1 species